GACGAACGCUGGCGGCGUGCUUAACACAUGCAAGUCGAACGGAAAGGCCCUGCUUUUGUGGGGUGCUCGAGUGGCGAACGGGUGAGUAACACGAGAGUAACCUGCCCUUGACUUUGGGAUAACUUCAGGAAACUGGGGCUAAUACCGGAUAGGAGCUCCUGCUGCAUGGUGGGGGUUGGAAAGUUUCGGCGGUUGGGGAUGGACUCGCGGCUUAUCAGCUUGUUGGCGGGGUAGUGGCUUACCAAGGCUUUGACGGGUAGCCGGCCUGAGAGGGUGACCGGCCACAUUGGGACUGAGAUACGGCCCAGACUCCUACGGGAGGCAGCAGUGGGGAAUAUUGCACAAUGGGCGGAAGCCUGAUGCAGCAACGCCGCGUGCGGGAUGACGGCCUUCGGGGUGUAAACCGCUUUCGCCUGUGACGAAGCGUGAGUGACGGUAAUGGGUAAAGAAGCACCGGCUAACUACG
rnacentral:rRNA from 1 species